GAGACCGGCGCACGGGUGCGUAACGCGUAUGCAAUCUACCUUUUACAGGGGAAUAGCCCAGAGAAAUUUGGAUUAAUGCCCCAUAGUAUAAUUGAAUGGCAUCAUUUAAUUAUUAAAGUCACAACGGUAAAAGAUGAGCAUGCGUCCCAUUAGUUAGUUGGUAAGGUAACGGCUUACCAAGACAAUGAUGGGUAGGGGUCCUGAGAGGGAGAUCCCCCACACUGGUACUGAGACACGGACCAGACUCCUACGGGAGGCAGCAGUGAGGAAUAUUGGACAAUGGGCGCAAGCCUGAUCCAGCCAUGCCGCGUGCAGGAAGACGGUCCUAUGGAUUGUAAACUGCUUUUAUACAGGAAGAAACACUCCGACGUGUCGGAGCUUGACGGUACUGUAGGAAUAAGGAUCGGCUAACUCCGUGCCAGCAGCCGCGGUAAUACGGAGGAUCCAAGCGUUAUCCGGAAUCAUUGGGUUUAAAGGGUCCGUAGGCGGUUUAAUAAGUCAGUGGUGAAAUCUGGUCGCUCAACGAUCAAACGGCCAUUGAUACUGUUAGACUUGAAUUAUAAGGAAGUAACUAGAAUAUGUAGUGUAGCGGUGAAAUGCUUAGAUAUUACAUGGAAUACCAAUUGCGAAGGCAGGUUACUACUUGUGGAUUGACGCUGAUGGACGAAAGCGUGGGGAGCGAACAGGAUUAGAUACCCUGGUAGUCCACGCCGUAAACGAUGGAUACUAGCUGUUGGAAGCAAUUUCAGUGGCUAAGCGAAAGUGAUAAGUAUCCCACCUGGGGAGUACGUUCGCAAGAAUGAAACUCA
rnacentral:rRNA from 1 species